rnacentral:sRNA from 1 species
AUGCAUACUCGUUUUUAAAUCAUUAAAUUUUAUUUAUUAGACAUGCAUAUUUUUUGUCAUAUUUUGUUUUUCUUUGUGAUCACAGAUUAGAUCAAUAAUCUAUAGAUGGAUUAACUAGUAUGUGUAUCUUACAGAUAGAUGUCAUUAUUAUUGUGAACAAUAUUUGAUUCACGCCGUUGUUUGUACUUAAGACUUGCCAAUUUAUCUGUUUCUCUUUAUUGCAAUUUAUUCAUAUCAAGUCUUGAAAAUGGUAUAAAUGUAAGUGCAAUUUGUAAUGUUUUGGAGCUCUUCUACAUAUGUUAAUAUCUGAAAUCUAUUUUUUAAUAUUCAACAUAAAAAAAACAUGUAAAUACAUUGUAAAUGUAGUCUAUAUUGUAUUAUAUACCUUGGUGUUCUUUGCUUAUGUUGUAUGCCAUAUGACUUGUUCUUUUAGAUUUAAAAUGUUAACCAUAUUAAAGGUGUUUUAAACUG